GACCGAGGGUGCAAACGUUGUUCGGAUUUCCUGGGCGUAAAGCGCGUGUAGGCGGCUUUGCAAGUCGGAUGUGAAAGCCCACGGCUCAACCGUGGAAGUGCAUCCGAAACUGCAUGGCUCGAGUCUCGGAGAGGAAGGUGGAAUGCUUGGUGUAGAGGUGAAAUUCGUAGAUAUCAAGCAGAACACCUGCGGCGAAGGCGGCCUUCUGGACGAUGACUGACGCUGAGACGCGAAAGCGUGGGGAGCAAACAGG
rnacentral:rRNA from 1 species